rnacentral:rRNA from 1 species
AGUGAACGCUGGCGGUAGGCCUAACACAUGCAAGUCGAACGGCAGCACAGUAAGAGCUUGCUCUUACGGGUGGCGAGUGGCGGGCGGGUGAGGAAUACAUCGGAAUCUACUUUUUCGUGGGGGAUAACGUAGGGAAACUUACGCUAAUACCGCAUACGACCUACGGGUGAAAGCAGGGGAUCUUCGGACCUUGCGCGAUUGAAUGAGCCGAUGUCGGAUUAGCUAGUUGGCGGGGUAAAGGCCCACCAAGGCGACGAUCCGUAGCUGGUCUGAGAGGGUGAUCGGCCACACUGGAACUGAGACACGGUCCAGACUCCUACGGGAGGCAGCAGUGGGGAAUAUUGGACAAUGGGCGCAAGCCUGAUCCAGCCAUACCGCGUGAGUGAAGAAGGCCUUCGGGUUGUAAAGCCCUGUUGUUGGGAAAGAAAAGCAGCAGGUGAAUACCCCGCUGUUCUGACGGUACCCAAAGAAUAAGCACCGGCUAACUUCGUG